rnacentral:lncRNA from 10 species
CCAGGGCUUGGCAGUACUCAGGUGAGUAAACGUUAGUUAUUGCUAAUAUUAUUCAUUUAUCUUAUUAUUGUUAUAAUUGAGUUAGUUCUGUGUUCUGAUCCAUGAGUGAAUUGGCCUCCUGGAAGCUGCCCUCAAAUCCCUCCUCUUUUACACAGUGAUUGAUGGUCCAUGUCGCCUCCUUGUAGUUACAGAUUAAUAAUAGGCCCUCCUCCUGGAAACAGGCCAAACGCCAAACCCCAUGCAAGCUGGCCUGGAGAAAGCACUUCUGAAACUUCAUCACCAGCAGGCAGCUAGACGACUGUUGAAUGGGAGGGGGGGUGGUUUUGAAGGGUGGAAUGGUGACAGAAUUAGUCACCAAGUAAACAAGCAACACCUUCGAUCAAUGCAAUGGAAUGUAGGUAACCCAGGGGCCCUCCUCACUGCUCAGCUGAGGGUGACGCCAACAUGGCCAGGCUGGCACACCCAGCAGAACCAGCCCUCUGCCCCCAACAUCAGUAAAGACCUUGCAGGAGGAAAGAACAACCCCGCUUUGCCUGCCCCACAGUCCUGCAGCUCCAUGUGUGUGCCCGCACAGUGCUAGGAACACGGCAGCUAUUAUCAGGAGUGCCAGGUACAGUGCUACAGGUUGCCUCCUGUACAAGGGGACACAGGGAACUGAAAUCCAGUCCUCACUGAACUGCCCAAGCCCUGAUUCCUGGUAUGGGACUUUGUGGGUCCAGGGGCAGGGGUGCCUUGAUCAAAAUCACCUUGGAUGUUUUAGGGCUGCUUGGUGAUUGAUGUUUUGCUUUCGGAGUACUUAAUUAUGUUUGCACAAACGGAUGGUAAUCCUAAAAAUCUUAGAGCUCGCUCUCAUAGUCUUAUUAUUGCACCAAACAUUGUUAAGUGCAUGAUAAUCGCAGGUAAUUUUAAUUGGAGGCUUACUAUGUGCCAGGCAGCACCAGGGUGAGCAUAGCAGGACACAAAAUAUAGGAAGGCAACCAUCUCUGGUGCAGAAUCGGCAGCAGAGAGUGAGCGCCUCCCUGCAUUUUAUCCCCCAGGUGCUCACUGGCUUCACCCUUGCCCUGACCCUGGUGCCAGGCACUUCACACACAUUGUCUCCUUUUCCCUUGCAGAGUCCCAUUAUUCCCUGAUUGCACAGAUAAAGAAACCAAGGCUGAGCAAUGCCAUCCCCUCAUCUCACGAACGUCACCUCCAUGAGGGUGAGAGUCUCACUGGCUGCACCCUCAUCCCAGGCCCGACUGGACUCCAGUUCCACAGCAUCCUUUCCAUGAGACCUGGAACCAGAUGCAGCUCCCUCUUCACCCAGCUUCAUGUUCCUAGUUGUAAAAUGGAGACGAUGGUAACAGCGAAAACAAGAACCACAGCUAAGAGUUACUAAGUGCACAGGUAUUUACGGGCAGUAGAGUCCUCUCAGCCCUUUGAUCUCAGUACUGUUAUUAGGUUCACUUUACAGAUGAGGAAACUGAGGCCCAGAGGGCUGAGGGAACCUGCUCCAGGGCACCCAGC